rnacentral:rRNA from 1 species
UACGUAGGGGGCAAGCGUUGUCCGGAUUUACUGGGCGUAAAGAGCGUGUAGGCGGCCACGCAGGUCCGUUGUGAAAACUGGAGGCUCAACCUCCAGACGUCGACGGAAACCGUGUGGCUAGAGUCCGGAAGAGGAGAGUGGAAUUCCUGGUGUAGCGGUGAAAUGCGCAGAUAUCAGGAGGAAUACCGAUGGCGAAGGCAGGUCUCUGGGCUGACACUGACGCUCAUGCACGAAAGCGUGGGGAGCAAACAGG